AGUGAACGCUGGCGGUAGGCCUAACACAUGCAAGUCGAACGGCAGCACAGUAAGAGCUUGCUCUUACGGGUGGCGAGUGGCGGACGGGUGAGGAAUACAUCGGAAUCUACUUUUUCGUGGGGGAUAACGUAGGGAAACUUACGCUAAUACCGCAUACGACCUACGGGUGAAAGCAGGGGAUCUUCGGACCUUGCGCGAUUGAAUGAGCCGAUGUCGGAUUAGCUAGUUGGCGGGGUAAAGGCCCACCAAGGCGACGAUCCGUAGCUGGUCUGAGAGGAUGAUCAGCCACACUGGAACUGAGACACGGUCCAGACCCCUACGGGAGGCAGCAGUGGGGAAUAUUGGACAAUGGGCGCAAGCCUGAUCCAGCCAUACCGCGUGGGUGAAGAAGGCCUGCGGGUUGUAAAGCCCUUUUGUUGGGAAAGAAAAGCAGCAGGUUAAUACCCCGCUGUUCUGACGGUACCCAAAGAAUAAGCACCGGCUAACUUCGU
rnacentral:rRNA from 1 species